rnacentral:tRNA from 4 species
UGGGGUAUCGCCAAGCGGUAAGGCACCGGUUUUUGAUACUGGCAUUCCCUGGUUCGAAUCCAGGUACCCCAGCCA